AGAAAGAAGCUGUUCCUUCACUUAUUCACAAAAUUGCCACCAAAGGGUUCAACUGAAAACGUGGAAAACAACAAUUUUUUCGUUUUCAAAAUUUGACAUAUUUCCGGAAACAUUUUCAGUGGCUGGCUGCGCCGCCACCUCACCUCAUCGCCGCUCCUUCGUUCCGUGAUUAACCUCCACUCAGGCUGUCGCGCCACCUGACCGACACCGUAUUGACGCCCAUUUCGUAUUCUCAAGGUUUUGAUUAGGAACAGUAUUACCAGCUUCCAUUCUGUAACAUCGUCGUUUGUGUGUGAAAUCCUCCCUGCUGCAAUUUUAAAAUCGGUUGGAGCAGUUCCAGUUCUUAAGAUUUUGCUUUUCAUCUAUUUGGGAGGGAUCUCUGAAGAUGAUAAAUGUGAAAGAGGUUAUUGAAGGUUUAAUCAUUGAUUCUCUCUUUGGAUUGGGCUUGCAGUUGCAGGGCUUGAGACUGGAUCAUGUCAUCGUUUGGGUUCCUUCUCCUAUACUGCAGUAGUUGCGUAUCGAGUAGAAGGAACAAGAUAAGGUUGUAAAGAAAUAUUGGUUUUGGCUUAACUAUCCCUAUUUUCGUUCUUGAUCGAUUUUGGAUUUGAUGUCUUAAUAAGACGUGGUCAUUGAUUGCAAGACUCACAAGGUGGUUGUUAAGGCAGAGAGACUCCGACGAUUACCACCUUUUUCUUCUUUUUAUUUUGGCUAAAAAGCACUUUUGGCCCCUGAUGUUUCAAGUUUGUGCAAAUUCUGCCCCUACUUUAUUUUUGUCGAUGUUUCUACCCCUCAUGUUUUCAAACAGUGCACCGUCUACCCCUCUGUCAGUCAGACGAUAAAAAACUAACGGAAUAAGCUGAUUUGACUUUUUUUUUACAUAUUUUUUUGACCUGCCACGUGGAAAUUACAAGUAAAAUUUGAAAAAGGCGGCAUGGGAGAUUCAAACUCAAGACAUGUAAGUAGCAAAACAUGCAUUUAACCAGUUCAAUUACAUACAUAAUUGAUAUAUACAUCAAGCAAAUUUAAUUUAUAUCAUUUCCUUGAUCAUCAUCAACUUCAUAUACUCCUCUUCAUCUCUCCCCAAUCCACUCAGGAACCUCUCCUGAGAAAGCCUUACUAACGGAGGGGUAGACGGUGCACUGCUUAAAAACAUGAGGGGUAGAAACGUCGACAAAAAUAUAGUAGGGGUAGAAUUUGCACAAACUUGAAACAUCAGAGGCCAAAAAUACUUUUUAGCCUUUUAUUUUUCUUUUGACUGAUUGUUUUUGUCCCUAAGUGUUUUAGAUUUCUGGUGGUAAUGCUUUCUCGGAUGCGGGUACAAGGAUAAAGAAGAAGUGGCAGAUCAUAGCUUCUGCAGUUAAGUUGUUGUGAAAGAAGCUAUGGCUCUAAGGAAAUAAAUCUGAGAAACACUGCAAUGUUUUGUUGUUCUUGGUGCAGGUUAGUGCUCAAGAAACAUAAUGUUCCUUUGCUGAUGCAGGCCUCUCAAUGCUAAAGAUAUAAGAGAAUCAACCACAAUGACCUCAGAUUUUGAUUUUACCAAAGAUGGAGAGCUUCCUGUAAUGACAUUAGAUUAUGGAGAGCUAAUGAAUUCUUUAAGAUUGUUUUUAAUUGAAGGCAAAAUGCUCAGUUUUUAGAAAUUCUAAGAGCAGUGUCCUGUACUUCUAUAGUAUUUUUUCCCACAUUUUAAUAUAUCCAUAAUUGAUUCCUUUUGAUAUAUUCUUUACAUAAUAAAAGUCAUAUGAACCUGGUAUACAAGUGGUCUUGGAAAGAUUUGCAAAAGCUUCUUUGAUGGCUGCUAUAGAUUACAGUCUCCAAUUCCAUUUAUUUGUAGUUUUUAAUAGUCUAUUAUGGGUUUGUAUUUUAAAUAUGUGAAUUCUUUAGGGUACUUUGUUUAUCGAAUACAACCAGUAACUAUAUGUUGCUGUUGUUGACAUCUUGCUCAACUCUACAGUUACCAAAAGAAAACAUGUUAUUGCAAAUUAUGCAAGAGGAAGAGUACAAAUUCCCACACACUAACAAUAAAGCAAGAGUUAUUUUUUGGUUUUGGUUUAUUGUUGCUUUCCACUAAUCUAUGACCCAUGAGACUUUCCUUACAGUUUGUGAUUGGAUUGAAGUUGUAUUGGUAACAACCCUUUAUUGCUUGAUGCAUGGGAACUGCUAAUAAUAUAAAAAAAUCUAAGCUUGAGAUCUAGCUAUAUGUCUUUUUGUUUCUGAUUUUAAUGAGAUGAUAUAUGAUUGUUGCUGUGAAAUUCUCUGUUAGUGGUUAUGUUCAAUUGUGCAGGACAAAAAUUAAAAAAGAAGGGAUUCAACGACAGCUUAUAUGGAAAAAGGUUUCCAAGGCAGAUGCUAAGAGCUCUGAUACCAAAUGAUAUGAUUUGGGAACACAAAGGAUCGUCUUGAAAACUGGGGACAAAAGAUAGGAACUUGACCCUAACCGCGACCUGCCGGUAGAACCAAAGUUAUCAAAGAUAAAAGGGGAACUUGACCCUAACCGCGACCUGCCGGUAGAACCAAAGUUAUCAAGUUUAGUUCUUAACCCAAGAACAAAUGGGAAGCUCUCACAAUAUGAGAAAACAACCUCUGCUCUUUGGAUUCCUUCGGGUAUAAAUCUCACUUCCCUUUCAAUUGUAUGUCUUCUAUGUAUUUAAAUCCUACAUUUCUUUUCUGUUACGUCCCUUAAGGUGUUGUGAUUGUUAUUGGCCAAGGAAGAAGAAAUGAUACAUGGAUAAAUUGCUUUACUCUCUCAUUUGUUAGGUUUUUUUAUUUUAUUUUCAUAUGGUUGCGCCAAUAACAUCUAAGACAUUAUAGUUUUGUUUUUUUUAAGAAGUUGAUCUCUCUAAUUGAAGGUAUGAAAAACAAUAGAAAUGGGAGGUUUGAAUAGCGUUUUCAGAUAAAACUUUUCCCACUUGAGAUUUUAACAAAUCUCUCAAACAAAGAAUGCAAAGUGCUAAGAUAAGAGUUGAGGAAAGCACACAAGGAUUUUAUCCUGCUUCACUUGAUAAAUCCCUUAAGCUAAUCCAGUCCACCUGUUAAGGUGAUUUCUUCCUUCUUAGAAUGAAGGCAAUCCACUAUUCAGAGUUUGUUACAACUGCACUAGCAACAUGCUCAGUGACUAACAAUACAAUGAACUAGUAAACACUAAGAUUCACUCUCUUAGUCUUCUCAAGGAUCUGACCAACCUUGGUCACUUAAAGAAAAACAAACUAACUGUUUGAAUGUUUGGGUUUACAAUGAAAUGCUUCUCAGAAAGCUAAGGUAAACACAAUGAGAUCGGUUCGAAGAAAGAUUGCUAAGAGAAUAUUUUAAUAUUGCUUGAGCUUGAACAAGGUUUCUUCGGCGGCAUCUUUCAUCUUCAGCCUCUUUAUAUACUCCAAGGAUUAGGGUUGUAUCCGUUGCAUGGAUUGCUACCGUUGGAGGGCAAAUCUGUAACUUUUAGAUUCUGUUGUGGCUGAACGUCUUAGGUAAGGUCGUCAGGAUAGUACAAUUGCUUUUGUACUUUGAUAGCGACUUGACCUUUAUCCUAGUUGACUUCUGAUCAGAGCGACGGUCAUGUUGGAACUUGUGAAGCUUGGUGAUCAGAGUCAGAGGGAAGCUUGGAUCCUCUGACCUUCGUAACUUCUGCUUCUGGACCUCAGAGUAGAAAGUACUUGGUAUUCAGAGCCAGCUUACUCUUGGACUUCAGAGUCUUAACUUCUCAGCUUCUGGACCUUCAGAACUUCUGGUCUUCAGAACUUCAAGUGAUCUAAAUCCAUAUGUUCCGUGCUAGAACAUAGAGAGGGAAGGUAGUACCUAAAGCAUGAGGAAAAUGGUGUGAAUGUUUAGAGAGAGAAGCUCUAACCGCUUAGAGAGAGAAAGUAUAACUGAAUUUCAAUCUUGUUAUUUCUCAAAUGAGCUAAGAGUCCCUUACAAUUGGUAUUUCCCUCCUAUUUAUAGAGGUGGAGUUGGGCUUUGGCGCCUUUAUCCUGUCCAAAUGGGCCAGUUGGGCCCCGGGAAGGGAGGCCCAAGGUUCUGACGCGUUCCCAGCCCGAGGCUGGGUCUCUUGGGCGAGGGACCCCGGGGUCCCGCCCAGUCCACAAGUCCUCAAGACACCGAGCUCGAAGCAUGAGAGCUAAGUGUGUCUUUAAGCAAGAAACAAGGUGAGAGCCCUAAGGAUGCCGACUAAAACUUAAAAACUUAAAAUCUGGAAAUAAAAAACAAUGGCCAACAUGGCAUGAUAAAUAAAGCCUUUUGCAAUCGACACCUUAGACCUUCAGCUGCGCCUUCUUCUUUUGGGCCUACCCAAUCCACAAGUAGGCUUGUGGCGACGACUUUUUGUCCGCCCGCCUCAGCAUAGUUAUGCACGUGCCUCGAAUCGUGAUACUUUGUCGCGUGUUGUUUCCAUCCCACGCGUCGUGCCUUGAAUUGACGCCAGGGUCAGUAAAUCCACAGAAUCUCAACCGCUAAUCUUGACGUGUCCUUUCCGGUCGCGUCACAACUUUGGCAAUUUUGAAUUUCCAUCAAUUAGUAGCAACCGUUGCGGAUUUCAUUUAAUGCGGUACCCCCCUUGUUCUAAAAUCUAUGCCACGUCUCCUGAGGUAAUCAUUCCACCUUUGCAAUGAUGGGGCACGAUUUCCCAAUCGUUUCUUAUCAUAACUUUUAAAUUCAACUUCUUUCUCUCACUUGUCACUUUUGAAACCCUCCACAAUCUCGCAAAGUUACCCAAGCUGUUACUCCAGCAUCUUCUCCUUUUCCGUCCCAGUCCCUUUUUGUAAAAGAUGACUCCUAAACGCCGCACCAAAAGAUCCUCUCGACUCCAAAGCCCCGCUCAAACAUUCCGCGCCCCGGCCAUUCCACCUCUUGCUGGGGGGGCUCCCCCUUAAUGAAAAUGAAAAGGGUGCCUUCUGGCACAAAAUCAUUUCCACCCUUCCUUCGCCUGCUACCAGGGAACCCGUUCUGAAAGCCAUCUGCCAACCCUCUGAGUUGUCCACCGACAAAUCCAUCACUGAGCUGGUCCGCCGAGUCGGAGGGUUAUGCCGUGAAAAAUCCCUCGAAGAUGUCCUUAUCACCAGCCGGGGCUUGAGCAGCCGUCGCCACUAGAAGUGUCGCACACUCGAACAAGGCGCAGAAGAGCCCCACUUCUUCUAUGUUUAUGAGUAUUUCUUUCUCGACCUGGGGAUCAAACUACCCUUCUCCCCCUUUCUUUGCCAGGUUUUGAGAGAGAUCAAUGAAGCCCCAAGCCAACUUCAUUUGAACGCCUGGGCCUUCAUCCGAUGCUACGAGAUUCUAUGUGAUGCCAUCAAUCUUGAAGCCAAAACCCCCCCCAUUUCUUUUACUUCUACGGCGUGUAGCCAAGAUCCUUGAAAGACGAGACUCCCGGGUGGGUCUACCUGAAGUCCCGAACGGGUCGGCAACGUCUCCAACCUUAUAAGAGCAAUAUCAAGAUGAGGCCCGGGCGCCGAUAUUUUCGCAUAAUUGUGCACCCCUCCUAUCCUGAAGCUUUCACACACCGGGAUGGAACUGCCUCAUUUCCUUUUUAUUGGACCGAGGAUCCCUGCGACGUUUCUCCGCCAUCCGAUGCAUCACUAAAUAAUGAAGACAAAGCCAUCCUCGGCUUCCUCUCCGAGUUCCCCAUCCUCGAAUGCUCCCAUUUGCUCGAAGCCGCCAGUGAAAACACACUCCAUACCCUCUUAGAAGGGAUUGACUUUACUGUGGCCGCGCUACAGCGCGCCUUAACUGCCGAUUCGCUCGAGUUUCCUCCUGUUUUCAAUACCCAGGUGAGCAAGAGGAAACGCGUCGUCGUCGAUUCUGACGCCGAAGCCGCCGUUCUCCCGUCGAAGAAGGUCAAAAAAUCUUCUUCAAUUGACCCUGCUCCAGGUGCCGCUGGGUCUGAUGAGGCUACAACGGGUGUCGCCCAGAUGACCCGGGUUUAUAUGAUGUUUUUAUGGUUUUUCCUUGUAGGUUUUGAGUCUUUUUCUUGUGUCUCAUGUAGUGUUUCAUGCAUUCUCAUGCAUUUUUAUUCUUUUCUUUAGUCUUUAUUUUGUUUUGGUAAUUUAGUAGUUUUAUAGGUAGUUUUCUUGCAUUUUAAGUAAAGUUUAGGACUUGCAUGGUUUUGUUGUGUUUUAUGAAGGACCUCUUGUGCUAAUGAGCUCUUGGAGCUUCUAGAAUCUUCCUUGACUUCUUGGUUAGGUUUGGAGAGCAGAAACUGAAGGAGAAAGAAGGCCAAGAAGCAUGGAAUUGAUGAAGAACUUAAAGAGGAUUGAAAAGAGAAGUUUCAGAAGCCAAAAAGUCCUUUUCAGGCGAGCUUAAGCGCCUAGGCGCUGGGAAUGGGCGCCUAGGCGCCAAUUAGCUCUAGAAAGCAUGUUUUGGGCAUGCAAUUGGCGCUCAGGCGCUCUGAAUUGGCACCUGAGCGUCCGGAACAGCCCAGACUCGUGAUUUUGCCUAUAAAUAGGAUUCUAGUCAUUUUCUUUUGUAAUUUUGGAUAUUUUUUGAUACUUUGUAAAAUUCAGAGGUAGAGGAUCAUCUAGGAGAGUGAAAGAUGGCUUCCAAGCUUGUAAUUCAGGUUCUUAGCCUUGCCAUGCUUGGCUAAUCUCUCUUCUUAUGCUUUGGUUUUCAUGUAAGACUUUUCAUAUUUGAGUAAUAAUCUUAAGUUCUUUCCCA